GGAUCCAGACUUUGAUUAUGGCUCAGGAUGAACGCUAGCUACAGGCUUAACACAUGCAAGUCGAGGGGAAACGACAUAGUUAGCUUGCUAACUUUGGGCGUCGACCGGCGCACGGGUGAGUAACGCGUAUCCAACCUGCCCACCACUUGGGAAUAACCUUGCGAAAGUAAGACUAAUGCCCAAUGAGAUUGAGUGCAGACAUCUAACCUCAAUUAAAGAUUCAUCGGUGAUGGAUGGGGAUGCGUCCGAUUAGCUUGUUGGCGGGGUAACGGCCCACCAAGGCAACGAUCGGUAGGGGUUCUGAGAGGAAGGUCCCCCACAUUGGAACUGAGACACGGUCCAAACUCCUACGGGAGGCAGCAGUGAGGAAUAUUGGUCAAUGGGCGAGGGCCUGAACCAGCCAAGUAGCGUGCAGGAUGACGGCCCUAUGGGUUGUAAACUGCUUUUAUAAGGGAAUAAAGUGGGGCUCGUGAGCUCCUUUGCAUGUACCUUAUGAAUAAGGACCGGCUAAUUCCGUGCCAGCAGCCGCGGUAAUACGGAAGGUCCGGGCGUUAUCCGGAUUUAUUGGGUUUAAAGGGAGCGUAGGCCGCAGGUUAAGCGUGUUGUGAAAUGUAGGGGCUCAACCUCUGCACUGCAGCGCGAACUGGCUUGCUUGAGUACGCACAACGUGGGCGGAAUUCGUGGUGUAGCGGUGAAAUGCUUAGAUAUCACGAAGAACUCCGAUUGCGAAGGCAGCUCACGGGAGCGCAACUGACGCUGAAGCUCGAAAGUGCGGGUAUCGAACAGGAUUAGAUACCCUGGUAGUCCGCACGGUAAACGAUGGAUGCCCGCUGUUGGCUUGAAUUAGUCAGCGGCCAAGCGAAAGCAUUAAGCAUCCCACCUGGGGAGUACGCCGGCAACGGUGCAACUCAAAUGAAUUGACGG
rnacentral:rRNA from 1 species